UCGUGCUCUCCAACUCUCCUAGACCUCAAUAAUGAAGCUCACUUUGUAUUUGGAUUAAAUGCAUCCAAGUGUCAGCUCAUGGUUGGUCCAUAACCUAUAUUAUGGGCUAAUUUUACCAUUCUAUCAUAGAAUGUCACACAUGGUAACACUCCUCAUCAUUGAGACUCAUGGUAACAUUCCUCAUCACCAGAUUUUUUUCAACUUCCCUUAGUUCCCUGAGUAUCCCAUAUAAGGAAGUGGACCAGACAACAAGAGAUCAGAUGAGCUCAAGCAAAGCCAAAUCACAUUCACAUUCUCUCCAUCUCUCUCUUCUAUCAAUUGGGUCUUGCUGCUCUUCUUCUUCUUCUUUCUUCUUUGUUGUUUCAUAUGAACCCUUUCAUAUUUUUCCACAGCUUUCUUGAACUUGAGAGGUCAGAAGUUGAUGGCAGUGAUGAGGGUAAUGAUUCUACAGUUCUAAGUUCAAGAAAGCUGUGGGAGAAGAUGGACUGGUUCAAACAUCUCUUCCAUGGAUGAGCAUUGGUUGAUCUUCUUAAGGAAGGAGAUGGAAGGCUUUUUUGGCUUAUCUUGAUCCAACCCACUUGAUCCUGCCUGUGUUUGAAAUGGAUUGUCCCACAAUUACCUAAAGCCUCACUAUGGAACCAGGCCAGAGUCCUUGAGGUAAGCUAUUUUACCAUUCUUGAAGAAGAAGAAGGAGAAGAAGAAGAGGAAGAAGAAGAAAGGAGUCACUUGAGAUGAAAGGAAAGUAGGUGGAAGGCUACGUAUUUUCAAAUCAAUUUGGAUUUUAACUUUGUUUUAUCUAUCCAACCAUCAAAAUUGCCACAUCAUUAUUUUAUGUGGCAAAAUGAUGAGGAGGAUAUACUGUUUUGACUUUGUAUUAUCUAUUCAACAAUUAAAAUUGUCACAUAAUUAUUCUAAUUAUUGUUUUUUCUGUAACUCUUUUGAGGAUAUUGAUCAUUUCUUUUUUUGCUUGCC